CAGUAGCCGCGGGAAUACGGAGGGCGCGAGCGUUACCCGGAUUUACUGGGCGUAAAGGGCGUGUAGGCGGCCUGGGGCGUCCCAUGUGAAAGGCCACGGCUCAACCGUGGAGGAGCGUGGGAUACGCUCAGGCUAGAGGGUGGGAGAGGGUGGUGGGAUUCCCGGAGUAGCGGUGAAAUGCGCAGAUACCGGGAGGAACGCCGAUGGCGAAGGCAGCCACCUGGUCCACUUCUGACGCUGAGGCGCGAAAGCGUGGGGAGCAAACAGGAUUAGAUACCCGUGUAGUCCCUGUCUCUUAUAC
rnacentral:rRNA from 1 species